rnacentral:rRNA from 1 species
UACGUAGGGAGCAAGCGUUGUCCGGAAUUAUUGGGCGUAAAGCGCGCGCAGGCGGUUGUUUAAGUCUGGUGUUUAAACCCAGGGCUCAACCUUGGGUCGCACGGGAAACUGGGCAACUGGAGUGUAGGAGAGGGAAGUGGAAUUCCACGUGUAGCGGUGAAAUGCGUAGAGAUGUGGAGGAACACCGAUGGCGAAGGCAGCCUCCUGGGCCAGCACUGACGCUCAUGCACGAAAGCGUGGGGAGCAAACAGG